AUAUCAAUAAGCGGAGGAAAAGAAACUAACAAGGAUUCCCCUAGUAACUGCGAGUGAACCGGGAAAAGCUCAAAUUUAAAAUCUGGCAGCAUUUCGCUGUCCGAGUUGUAGUCUAGAGAAGCGUUUUCCGCGCUGGACCGUGUACAAGUCUCUUGGAACAGAGCGUCAUAGAGGGUGAGAAUCCCGUCUUUGACACGGACUACCAGUGCUUUGUGAUGCGCUCUCAAAGAGUCGAGUUGUUUGGGAAUGCAGCUCAAAAUGGGUGGUAAAUUCCAUCUAAAGCUAAAUAUUGGCGAGAGACCGAUAGCGAACAAGUACCGUGAGGGAAAGAUGAAAAGCACUUUGGAAAGAGAGUUAAACAGUACGUGAAAUUGCUGAAAGGGAAACGCUUGAAGUCAGUCGCGUUGUUCAGAACUCAGCCUUGCUUUUGCUCGGUGCAUUUUCUGUUUAACGGGCCAGCAUCAGUUUUGACUGCAGGAGAAAGGUCAGAGGAAUGUGGCACCUUCGGGUGUGUUAUAGCCUCUGGUUGCAUGCUGUGGUUGGGACUGAGGAUCUCAGCACGCGUAAGUUGUGCUUAGGAUGCUGGCGUAAUGGCUUUAAACGACCCGUCUUGAAACACGGACCAAGGAGUCUAACAUGCCUG
rnacentral:rRNA from 1 species